rfam:Pea enation mosaic virus-2 strain WA RNA-dependent RNA-polymerase, 33 kDa protein, long-distance movement protein, and cell-to-cell movement protein genes, complete cds.
CGCAGGUGUUUGAGGGAUCGCCAGCCCUCAGGAUAGUGAGCUCCCGCAGAGGGAUAAGCUGUCCCCCUGCG